CUGCCUCAGGCGAUUUGUUGCGGUUUGAAUGAGGCAACGGCAUGAAUAAGAAAUAAAAGGACUGGAGAAAAUUUGUACGCCCAUCCUGUUUAAAGUGAACUCUCUGCGCCCGGCUAAAGCAAUUUGGGAGUACCGAAUUUCGGCUAAAGGUUGAGCAGAAUGCAGGAACAGAGGAAGCAGAGGACGAACAUUAGAAAGCUCGAGCUUUUUCAACAGUUGUACCCGGAUUGUCUUCUGCUUGCUUGAGGUUGAUGUCGAAGAACUGGCCUGGGUCGAAACCGACUGCACGCUCACCGGCCAAUCUAGGGAACGUGGAAU